UUAAGUUCAGCGGGUAUUCCUACCUGAUCCGAGGUCAACAUUCCAGAGGGUUGGGUUGUUUUACGGCGUGGGCCGCCGCGCUCCCGGUGCGAGUUGUGCAAACUACUGCGCAGGGGAGGCUGCGGCGGGACCGCCACUGGAUUUCGGGGCCGGCCCCCGCGAGGGAGGGCCGAUCCCCAACGCCGACCCCCCGGAGGGGU
rnacentral:misc_RNA from 1 species